GUGCUAAUUUUGGCAGCACACAUACUAGCAUUGGAACAAUCUAGAGAAGAUUAGCAUGGCCCCAGGCAGAUUUGUGAAGCAUUCUGUAUUUUU
ensembl:snRNA U6 U6 spliceosomal RNA